rnacentral:rRNA from 1 species
AUUGAACGCUGGCGGCAUGCCUUACACAUGCAAGUCGAACGGUAACGCGGGGCAACCUGGCGACGAGUGGCGAACGGGUGAGUAAUACAUCGGAACGUGCCCAGUAGUGGGGGAUAGCCCGGCGAAAGCCGGAUUAAUACCGCAUACGACCUACGGGUGAAAGCAGGGGAUCGCAAGACCUUGCGCUAUUGGAGCGGCCGAUGUCAGAUUAGGUUGUUGGUGGGGUAAAAGCCUACCAAGCCGACGAUCUGUAGCUGGUCUGAGAGGACGACCAGCCACACUGGGACUGAGACACGGCCCAGACUCCUACGGGAGGCAGCAGUGGGGAAUUUUGGACAAUGGGCGCAAGCCUGAUCCAGCCAUGCCGCGUGCGGGAAGAAGGCCUUCGGGUUGGUAAACCGACGUUUUGUCUAGGGAAGAAACGACUCCGGGC